rnacentral:rRNA from 1 species
UACGGAGGGUGCGAGCGUUGUCCGGAAUCACUGGGCGUAAAAGGGCGCGUAGGCGGCGCGGAUAGUCGGCGGUGAAAGCCCGGAGCUCAACUCCGGGUCGGCCGUCGAUACUUCCGGGCUUGAGCACUGUAGAGGCAGAUGGAAUUCCGGGUGUAGCGGUGGAAUGCGUAGAGAUCCGGAAGAACACCGGUGGCGAAGGCGGUCUGCUGGGCAGU